rnacentral:rRNA from 1 species
UACGGAGGAUCCAAGCGUUAUCCGGAAUCAUUGGGUUUAAAGGGUCCGUAGGCGGUCUUAUAAGUCAGUGGUGAGAUCUCUCCGCUCAACGGGGAAACGGCCAUUGAUACUGUAAGACUUGAAUUAUUGGGAAGUAACUAGAAUAUGUAGUGUAGCGGUGAAAUGCUUAGAUAUUACAUGGAAUACCGAUUGCGAAGGCAGGUUACUACCAAUGGAUUGACGCUGAUGGACGAAAGCGUGGCGAGCGAACAGG